GCUUUUGCAACACUUUUUCUGUUGAAAUUAUAGUCGGCGGUGGUCUCACCCGAAACAAUAGAAUGUCUUCCGUGCUGACGGCUGCUACAUUUUUUUUUUUUGUUAGCCCAAGUUCCAUGUCGUCAAAUAGUUCAUUUUAGAAUUCCAAUCAGACUAUCGUAAAUGGAAUUUAUUGCGCCAUUUAAAAGUUCUGUGUGCAACCAUCAUUUCUAGUGAACGCAACACAACACAUGACCAAAUUUAGCUAAACUUUUAUUUUGCAUAAAAAAGCCAAAAAACAAAACAAAACAAAAAAAAACAAAACAAAUUACACCGAGAAGAAAGGAAUGACUAACGAGCACUUUCUCUGGCGCUCUAGCCGCUAUUUAUAAACAAAGCAAAACGAACAAUAGAGCUGGUUAACUAUUUUUUCGUCGUCUUCCCCUUUUAUUUUCGCUUUUUUUUUUUCAAAAGUGAACAUUCCUGAUGAUCGCCUUCGUCGCCUGUGCCCUUCCAGCGCAGCGUAUAUAUACAGCACGCAGUUAACAUAACCAUCCUCUUUCUGCGCAGCAGGGACGCUACUUUUCUCCACCCACAAAGGUGUUACAGGCACCUGAGACCCCGAUGAAUAAUUUAUCCGCCACCCAUUCCAGAGUUUCCAGGUUGCUCUUGGCUGUGGGCGACUGGGCGCUCGUCGUUGCUUUCUUCUUCCCCUCUUUUCGGCUAUUUGGGAAAAGAAAGCUAUUUCGAGACAACAAGUUGAAGAAUGAGGAGACGUGGACGGCUGUGGACUUCCAUUACGGAGAAUUUCCUUUUAGCGUCUAGCGAUUGACGGAUGAUGGAAGUUAGGACCUUACGCGGUCGUUCAAGUUCCACUGGACCGAGCCAGGGUGCCUAUCAACGUCAAUAUCUAUUCCAUGCCACGUUUCCCUAGUUCUAUACCUCCAACGGAGAAACAUUGAUACAAGUAAAAAUUAAAAUACACAAACACAGACAAAAAUAUAAAGGAAAGAAACGCACA